UUUGGGGAAUGAUGACAAGAUUCAAACAGAUGAGCAGACGCGCCAGCGCUCUCUGCUGAAUAAUCUAUCGCACGUCAGUCUGAUCCCGAA
rfam:Jatropha curcas cultivar GZQX0401 scaffold734_44, whole genome shotgun sequence.